AUGCUUGCUUUGGCAGCACACAUACUAAAACUGGAAUGAUACAGAGAAGAUUAGCAUGGCUCCUGUACAAGGAAAACAUGCAAAUCCAUGAAGUAUUCCAUAUUUUU
rnacentral:snRNA from 1 species